ACCCACUGACAGUCAUUAAAAUACCCACUACUCAGUCAUUAAAAUUCUGAAUUAAUCUCUGAUCAUGGUGGAAGCUGUUACUUCCAUCUUGCCUAUAUAAAUCUAUAUCUCGUUUUGUGAAAAGACACAUAAAAGAAAACAGUAAAAUCAUCUUCUACGAAUCCUUCCUUUUCAUAUUCUGAAUUUCUUAUCCUUGAAUUUUUACAUAUAUUCUGGAGUACAACCGAUAGUUCUGAAAAAAUCAUUUGUGAUUACUGUACAAGUGGUUUAUGAUCGUUGUAUCCUGGGAGUGAUUGUCCACGGAGGUCGCAGCAGUUAUCGACGGGCAAUUUCACUUUAGGACAUCAUGCUGUCACGAGACUCGAUCAGGCGAUAAGUUUUCUUUUUGCAUUUUACCGUUCUGAACAUUACUGCAACUAAUUAUUAUUCCAACAUCAAGUGCCCAUAUACUAAUCAUUUUUUGGGCGUAUACAUUUUCAAUGUUGCGCAUAAAAAUCUACAAUGUUAAUGCUUUGAUAGUUUGACAUGUGUGUGGGGUCGGUGCUAAUAUCAAAGUACAUACAAAAUGCAGUAGUACACAAAUUUGAUGAACUCUUCUCCGGCAGGUCAAAGUAGGCGAAUAAAUGUUAGUUCAACAAUAUCAACUAUUAAGUGAUUGAAACUAUAUCUUUACAAUCUAAAGGAAUCCCUAAUAAAUAAUGACUAAUUCAUGAUUUAAUUGAUGUUAAAAUAGGACAAAAGAGCAGCUUGGCUAUGAUGUUGAUUGUAACACAUGGGUAACAUUCGGCAUAUAGGGAUACUGUUUCCAAGUUCAAUCUUCUAAGCACGAUCCUGUGUACUUGCUAGAGAGGAUUGACAACUUCAUAAACGGCCUUGAAGAGAUGUUGAAUGGAUUCAACAACGAUUUGUUUGAGAAUUACAGAGGUGCAUUAAUGGGCAACAUUUAGGAAGAUCUACCCUUUUUUACUGAUAGAAUUGGCCAGGGCUAAAACAUUUGUUAUAGGUGUAAUAAUGACACUCUAGAAUUUGGAGUAGCUGACUCUUUUGAGAAGUCGGAUAUUAUCAACUGGUACAAUACUUACCUAAAGAAGCCCUCUACAAAGUGUAGAAGACUUGCUAUUCGAGUGUGGGGUUGCAAUACAGACAUGAAAAUUUUAAAUGAGCAACCAUCGUAUAGAAAAGAACUUAAAGAUGUAGAAGCUUUCAAAAACUCAUUUGACUUCUAUCCAGGUUAUGAUUUUUGAUUGAAACAAAAAUUAAUUCAAGAUAUUUGUCUUCCACGGUAGUUGAUAUUGAAAUCUUGAAUUCAAUUC